GGCAUUUCAAGACACAUGGGCAGCUGCAUGUAAAGUGGAGGCAUCAACUGUUGUCGUUCCAGCCGAAUUUGUGUUUCUUGUAGGACCCAUUUCAUUUUCUGGUCCAUACUGUCAAGCAAACAUUGUGUUUCAGGUAAAACCAUGUGGGAUCUUAAUUACUCCUUCUAUAUUGGGUAAUGAGUCAAUAACAUACAGAUAACACUGUCAAAUAAAAUUGGAAAGAUAACUACCAAUAAUAGCAUGUUGAUGUCAAGUGAAAUGGAACACCUGAUGCACCUUGAGAUUGUUAUGGUAGUGAAGAAUAAUUGAUGCUUGAUCACGGCUGAUGUGGCUGAAAUUUUUUUUUUCUCAGCUGGA
rnacentral:lncRNA from 1 species